rnacentral:tRNA from 1 species
GCGCCGGUAGCUUAACGGAGAGAGCGGUUCCUUGACGGAGAACGCGGUGCGGGUUCGAGUCCCGUCCGGCGUA